GGAGGACUGAAGCCCAGGCUCACCUUACUCUCUGGAGUGUGAAGGUUUGGGUGAGCUUGUCUCAUCCCAUUAGCAAAUGCUUUCUUCUGGAACUUGGAAGAGCAGCAGAUGAAGUUGGAGAGAAAAUUCUGCUCUUACAUCACCUAAACAGAAGAGGACAGUAGAUGCCCCCAAAGCUCUAGUAGAUGAUAGUGUGGGGGCUUGUGUGCGGCUCCUACCUGUGCUGUUCAUUCACAGUGCAGUUUAAGGGAGCAGGCGCCACUGCAUUCCUUGGCUGUGCCCUGAGGGUGCUUGCUGCUUUAUAUAGUAACAGUCAAUUAAGGUUUCUUUCAGGAAGAGAAAAGGGAUGGUUUUGAGGGGCUCAGAAAAUAGGAUUCAGUGUGUAACAUAACAGGUAGGUUGUCGG
rnacentral:lncRNA from 1 species